GUGAGGAAUUUUCCGCAAUGGGCGAAAGCCUGACGGAGCAAUGCCGCGUGAAGGAUGAAGGCCUAUGGGUUGUAAACUUCUUUUCUCAGAAAAGAAUUAUGACGGUAUCUGAGGAAUAAGCAUCGGCUAACUCUGUGCCAGCAGCCGCGGUAAGACAGAGGAUGCAAGCGUUAUCCGGAAUGAUUGGGCGUAAAGCGUCUGUAGGUUGUUUAAAAAGUAUUCUGUCAAAGAUUAGGGCUUAACCCUAGAUAGGCAGAAUAAACUUUUAAGCUAGAGUUUGGUAGAGGCAGAGGGAAUUCCCGGUGAAGCGUUGAAAUGCGUAGAUAUCGGGAGGAACACCAAAGGCGAAGGCACUCUGCUGGGCCAAUACUAACACUGAGAGACGAAAGCGAGGGGAGCAAAUGGGAUUAGAAACCCCAGUAGUCC
rnacentral:rRNA from 1 species